GCACAAAACCCGGAGCCGGCCUCCGGAUCCAGCCACAUGUUGCCCCCCCCCCCCCCAUCCAAUGCCGGGAGAGUUGCAAAGCCACCUCGUGCGGCAGGAGAAGCAGCGAGAUGCGGGGGCUCCCCUGAAGCACGAUGCCUUGGAUACAGGUGUCUCCGAUGUAAACGGUGGGCUGAACUUGCUGUCUAUUGAGAAGAUGGAUCACUGAAGGAGACUUUGAUGUCAUAAACCCAAGAUUAUGACUUCAUGAUGAAGCAGUGAGAAAAGCCAGGAUGAGAGAAGGAAAAUAGAACACAUUCAUCUUUGGUAACGAGCAAUGUUUAAAAGGGGAGUCCGGAAAAUUUGACAAAAAACGGAAUGUUAUAAAUUUCCCCCUGAAUGUCUUUGCUUCCAAGCUACUAUGCUGAUUGACAUCUGGUCUUUCUAGCUAUUCAAGUAAAAGCCAAUUAGGAUCAAAUUUAUCACUGGUGACAUCAAUAGAGUUUCACCAGGAUGACCUGGGACCUUUAUGCCUCUAGGGGGAAGAUACCGAGAGAUCUCAAAUGCAAGAAUCAUAGCACUUUAUAUGCUUCUUCAGCCUCACCAAUAUUAAGAAAGCUUUCUGUGUGCUCAUCUUAAUUAGCUGUUUUACCAAUGAGCACCUAGGAGCUUCAGUCAUGGGCCAGGCACCCAUCAUGCUGGGCAUUAUACAAACAGAACACAAAGAUGGUGUCUGCCUCAAAUAGUUUACAAUGAUAUGCUGAAAAUUUGACUUUUUUCCCCCUUUGGCUGGAUCUUAAAUGGAGAAAAUGUUGGUUUGUUUUUAUUUUAAACAAAAAAAGUACAACUAGAUUGACAACUUGCAUGCCAGGGUUUUACCUGAUGCAGUUUGAGACAGCUGAGAUGGUAUAUCAACCACCCCUCUUGCAAUGAGAUUUAUAAUGGAAAUGCUGACGAGACACCUAUCUUUGGAGAUGGCACCAUGCACUGCUUUAAAAGCUUGUUAUGAAUGUUAAUUGGUUAUCUGAAGAGUUUUCUUUUUCCACGUGUAGGCAGCCCAGAGCACAGCCUCGGUAAUACCAUUUAACGAAUGCAUGAAAACACAGGAUGCUUAUGUGGACUGGCUGCACAGAUUUCAACUAAACCACACACUGAACUUUGCACACAGUAUUCAUUAGCAAAGGGAUCAGCCUACAUUGUUGUGUGGUGCAUACUAACUAGUUGUUUCCAUAGUACUAGGGCAUGGGAAUUGCCUCAACCUACUCCACUUACGCUGAUGUUCCUCCCAGCUCAGCAUUUGGAACCCAGCAUUCUGCAUUGAACAGUUCCGCUCUGCACAGUCUCUACUGGUGCAUUUGGCUACUCAGUGGCACACACGGGAUUUGCACAUGUUGAGCUAUGGGUCCAGGACCAUGGGGAGAAGAUAUCAUGGGAAGCCUACAAAUGUCCCAGCAACCAGAAGAAACUUUCACAACCAAACCAGCAGCUCCAGCAGCGGAUGUGAGGGUGAGCACACCUCAGCCCUUCCCUACCUCUCCUUCACUAGAACCAGCACAUCCACUCUGGGACUUAACAUCCUCCACACACAUGGUCAGGACCAGCCCAGAGGAUGAUUUAAAGUCAGCCUGUGAAAGAUUCACCUUCUCAGGAGCAGCUUUCAAACCAUCUGCCUCCUGACACCGCAACUGAUAUUUACACUUGGACAUUUCAAAUUUUGAAGUACAAACUUUAGUCCAGUCAUAUGCCUCACCCUUCCACAGCAAUCCCUUCAGUCUUGCUUCAGUCAUCCUUGCUUGCCUACUAUCCCCCGCUCCAUCCUUCUCAGUCUCUCCUAAUUGACUGUCCUCAUCCUGUUUUUACCCUUUUACUUAUCUGCUUCCCCACAAACAAAGCACACCAAGUGCUAGCACUCGAAAUACCAUUGUUCUUGUUAAAAAUAAUACCCAAAACUGACACAAUAGUUGCCAACCUUUGCCAUGACCCACCUACUGUUAUCUUAGAGACCCUUACCAGAUACCAUAUCCAGUUCUGUUGUCCACUCUUCAGAAAGGAUGUGAAUACAUUGGGAAGGCUUCAGGAAAGAGCUACAAGGUGAUUCAAGGUCUAUACAACAUGGCUUAUAGUGAGAGACUUAAGAAGCCCAUUUCAUUUAGUUUAUUCAUAAGAAGGGUAAGAGGUGACUUGGUUAUGGACUAUGAAUAUCUUCAUGGAGAAGAUAUUUCUGAUAGUAAAUGGAUUUUUAGUCUAGCAGAAAAAGGCAUCACAAGAUCCAGUGAGUUCCAGCUGGAAGAUGAAGCUAGAUAAACUCAGACUAGAAAUAAAAUGCAUUUUUUUUUAACAGUGAGAUAACUAACCAUUGGAACAACUUCCCUGAGAGUGUGAUGGAUUCUCGACUACUUGAAGCCUUUCCAUUAAGAUUGUAUUUCUUUCUCAGAUAUAUGUAAUAGCUCAGACAGAAGUUAUGGGUUUGAUGCAGGAAUCAGUGGAUGAAGUCUUCUGGCCUGCAUUAUGCAGGAUGUCAGGCUAGAUGAUCAAAUAGCCCUUCCUAGCCAUACAGUCUAUAAAUCGGUAUCCCUUUUCCCCCACUUUUGACAUAUUUUAAUAUCACAGGAACCAGGUCUUUCUACAGGCCUGGAAAUACCUAGAUAUUUGAGGUACUGUUGCAAUCAAAUAACAGUCUCAUUGAUGUUAUAGGAAUUCUGAGCAUGGGACAAGGGCAGAGUAUACAAGAAUUAAAGAUCGUGGACAGAAAAUCUGCCUUGUAAAUUGCAAAGCAGAAUUUUGCUUUGUUUUUCCAGAUCUGUGCCUCUACGUUAAGAAAAUAAUGGCCAAAUCCAUGACUUCUUAGACCCACUGUCCUUUUAAAUCUCUUUUUUUUUCAUUGCAAUUGAAUACAUUUUAGAAUUAUUCAAUCACUCAUGAUGGAUAUUGGCACUUAACUGUAAAUAAAAUAAAACAAAAUAAAAAAAUCUGGACUGGAUUUUACCAGCUCUCUACUUGUAAAUAGUGUGCUUUAUAGUUUUGGAUGAAAAGCUAUAGUUUUAUGUUUUUCAAGCAUAUUGUCUACUAAAGUAUUGUUUUUAUUUUCUAGUUUAAUUUGUUCUUCAGAUUCUGUGGUCUUCAGUCAAUUCACUGGCUGAUUGAAUUAUUAUCCCAAUAAUGAGAUUUUACAUGAUUAGUGUCAGUUACCUAUCUGAUCUUUUAAGUAGGUUAAUUGGCAGCUCUGAAUAAUUAUCAGCAAUCUCACCUUGCUGACUGAGACUCUUGGAGAAUAAAUGAAGCACAAAGAUGCGGCGGGGGAGCAUUUGAAGGGAAAGAGUUCUGGAUUUAAACUUGAAAGUUAUUUAGUGUGAGAAAAGCAAACUUUUUCACUAAUAACUUUUACAUAAAAUGAAACAAUUUUGGAGUAUUUUAAAUGUCCCAUCAAAAUUUUGGCCUUGUAAAAUGUAUAUUUUUGCCCCGCAACACUGAUCAAGAGUCUUUCCCAACACAACAAGGAAACCAUUGAGAGGUAGAUAAAUAGGUCCUACUCCUAUUAUCAGAUUUGCAUCUGGGAUCAUUGUGCUGUCAAAGUCCCACUGAAGUCAAUAGGGAUCAUAUAGGUGUAAAAGUAAAAGUGUGCUGGAGUGAUUCCUUCUGGUUUUUUGAACCUCAGAAGUUCAUGUUUUCUCACUUUUCUCCACAACUAUCAGGGCUAAAAACUCACCUUUUUAAACUGGAAA